UAGGGCGAUCUGGCUGCGACAUCUGUCACCCCAUUGAUCGCCAGGGUUGAUUCGGCUGAUCUGGCUGGCUAGGCGGGUGUCCCCUUCCUCCCUCACCGCUCCAUGUGCGUCCCUCCCGAAGCUGCGCGCUCGGUGGAAGAGGACGACGUCCCAGGUAUAGAAGGAGUGUACCGAGGUCUCCAGUCUUUGGUCCAGGGUAUACGAUAGCUGCACUCCCCUGCUAGAACCUCCAAACAAGUGCAAAGGCCCUCCUGACCAUUGCCGACACCUGGCUCUCCAGAUUACCGAUGAGCUCAGAAAAAUCCCCAGACUGUGGACCUGCGUCU
rnacentral:snRNA from 1 species